AACGAACGCUGGCGGCAGGCUUAACACAUGCAAGUCGAACGCCCCGCAAGGGGAGUGGCAGACGGGUGAGUAACGCGUGGGAAUCUACCCAGAUCUUCGGAACAACUGAGGGAAACUUCAGCUAAUACCGGAUACGCCCUACGGGGGAAAGAUUUAUCGGUUCUGGAUGAGCCCGCGUUGGAUUAGCUAGUUGGUGGGGUAAUGGCCUACCAAGGCGACGAUCCAUAGCUGGUCUGAGAGGAUGAUCAGCCACACUGGGACUGAGACACGGCCCAGACUCCUACGGGAGGCAGCAGUGGGGAAUAUUGGACAAUGGGCGAAAGCUUGAUCCAGCCAUGCCGCGUGAGUGAUGAAGGCCUUAGGGUUGUAAAGCUCUUUCAGUAGGGAAGAUAAUGACGGUACCUACAGAAGAAGCCCCGGCUAACUUCGUGCCAGCAGCCGCGGUAA
rnacentral:rRNA from 1 species